GCAUUGCCUCAGUAGCGGCGAGUGAAGCGGCAAGAGCUCAGAUUUGAAAUCGUGCUUUGCGGCACGAGUUGUAGAUUGCAGGUUGGAGUCUGUGUGGAAGGCGGUGUCCAAGUCCCUUGGAACAGGGCGCCCAGGAGGGUGAGAGCCCCGUGGGAUGCCGGCGGAAGCAGUGAGGCCCUUCUGACGAGUCGAGUUGUUUGGGAAUA
rnacentral:rRNA from 1 species